AUUGAACGCUGGCGGCAGGCCUAACACAUGCAAGUCGAACGAGUGGCGGACGGGUGAGUAAUGUCUGGGAACCUGCCUGAUGGAGGUGGAUAACUACUGGACACGGUAGCUAAUACCGCAUACCAUCAGAUGUGCCCAGAUGGGCUUAGCUUGUUGGUGGGGUAACGGCUCACCAAGGCGACGAUCCCUAGCUGGUCUGAGUGGAUGACAAGGCACCCUGGAACUGAGAAAAGGUCCAGACUCAUACGGGAGGCAGCAGUGGGGAGUAUUACACUAUGGGAGGAAGGCUAGUGCAGCCAUGCCGCGUGGAUGAAGAAGGCAUUCGUGUUGUAAAGUAAUUUUAGUGGUGAGGAGUUACUAGAAGAAGAAGCACCGGCUAACUCCGUGCCAGUAGCCGCGGUAAUAC
rnacentral:rRNA from 1 species